AUGGAGGUCUCAGCCAGGCUCCGCCCGCCGCCCUCGACGACGGCGCCUCCCCGCCACGGCGGAGGGUCCCUGGGGCGGCUGCUCCCUUCGGCCCGGCCCGCCGCCCGCGCGGUCUCCGCCAAGCCAAUGCAGAUCAGGGCAAGUGCAAUUAAUGACCUGCAGAGAAGCAAGAGUAGCCUCGAAGCACUGUUCUGCUACGACAAAGCUGUUCCAGAGGAGAAUAUUGGGAAACCAGCCGGCCUAGAUUUGGAAAAGAAGGAGGUUGGGAAGAAUCCUCCAUGCGUGCGCUGCGAAACUAAAGGCGCCGUGCUGUGCGCAACCUGUGCUGGCUCAGGCUUGUACGUCGACUCGAUAAUGGAGAGCCAAGGAAUCAUCGUAAAGGUCAGAUGCCUAGGUUGUGGAGGAACUGGAAGCAUCAUGUGCUCCACGUGCGGAGGCCGUGGGCACACCUGA
rnacentral:rRNA from 1 species